rnacentral:rRNA from 1 species
AUGCAACGCGAAGAACCUUACCAAGGCUUGACAUACUACAGAUUUCUUUGAAAGAGGAAAGUGCCUUCGGGAAUGUAGAUACAGGUGGUGCAUGGCUGUCGUCAGCUCGUGUCGUGAGAUGUUGGGUUAAGUCCCGCAACGAGCGCAACCCUUAUUUUUAGUUGCUAAUUUAUUUUAGGUUUUCUAGAAAGACUGCCGGUGACAAACCGGAGGAAGGUGAGGAUGACGUCAAGUCAGCAUGCCCCUUAUGCCUUGGGCUACACACGUGCUACAAUGGUUAAGACAAAGAGUUGCGAGCUCGUGAGAGUCAGCUCAUCUCAUAAACUUAGCCUAAGUUCGGAUUGUAGGCUGCAACUCGCCUGCAUGAAGUCGGAAUCGCUAGUAAUCGCUGGUCAGCCAUACAGCGGUGAAUCCGUUCCCGGGCCUUGUACACACCGUCCGUCACA